rnacentral:rRNA from 1 species
GAUGAACGCUGGCGGCGUGCCUAAUACAUGCAAGUCGAGCGAACAGACGAGGAGCUUGCUCUUCUGACGUUAGCGGCGGACGGGUGAGUAACACGUGGAUAACCUACCUAUCAGACUGGGAUAACUUCGGGAAACCGGAGCUAAUACCGGAUAAUAUAUUGAACCGCAUGGUUCAAUAGUGAAAGACGGUUUUGCUGUCUCUUAUAGAUGGAUCCGCGCCGCAUUAGCUAGUUGGUAAGGUAACGGCUUACCAAGGCGACGAUGCGUAGCCGACCUGAGAGGGUGAUCGGCCACACUGGGACUGAGACACGGUCCAGACUCCUACGGGAGGCAGCAGUAGGGAAUCUUCCGCAAUGGGCGAAAGCCUGACGGAGCAACGCCGCGUGAGUGAUGAAGGUCUUCGGAUCGUAAAACUCUGUUAUUAGGGAAGAACAAAUGUGUAAGUAACUAUGCACGUCUUGACGGUACCUAAUCAGAAAGCCACGGCUAACUACGUG